rnacentral:rRNA from 1 species
AACGAACGCUGGCGGCAGGCCUAACACAUGCAAGUCGAGCGAGGACUUCGGUCCUAGCGGCGGACGGGUGAGUAACGCGUGGGAACGUGCCCUUUGCUUCGGAAUACACCUGGGAAACUGGGAGUAAUACCGGAUGAGCCCUUUGGGGGAAAGAUUUAUCGGCGAAGGAUCGGGCCGCGUUGGAUUGGGUAGUUGGUGGGGUAAUGGCCUACCAAGCCGACGAUCCAUAGCUGGUGUGAGAGGAUGAUCAGCCACACUGGGACUGAGACACGGCCCAGACUCCUACGGGAGGCAGCAGUGGGGAAUCUUAGACAAUGGGGGAAACCCUAAUCUAGCCAUGCCGCGUGAGCGAUGAAGGCCUUAGGGUUGUAAAGCUCUUUCAGCUGGGAAGAUAAUGACGGUACCAGCAGAAGAAGCCCCGGCUAACUCCGUG